rnacentral:rRNA from 1 species
CACAUGCAAGUCGAACGAGCGAGAGAGAGCUUGCUUUCUCAAGCGAGUGGCGAACGGGUGAGUAACGCGUGAGGAACCUGCCUCAAAGAGGGGGACAACAGUUGGAAACGACUGCUAAUACCGCAUAAGCCCACGACCCGGCAUCGGGUAGAGGGAAAAGGAGCAAUCCGCUUUGAGAUGGCCUCGCGUCCGAUUAGCUAGUUGGUGAGGUAACGGCCCACCAAGGCGACGAUCGGUAGCCGGACUGAGAGGUUGAACGGCCACAUUGGGACUGAGACACGGCCCAGACUCCUACGGGAGGCAGCAGUGGGGAAUAUUGCACAAUGGGGGAAACCCUGAUGCAGCGACGCCGCGUGGAGGAAGAAGGUCUUCGGAUUGUAAACUCCUGUUGUUGAGGAAGAUAAUGACGGUACUCAACAAGGAAGUGACGGCUAACUACGUGCCAGCAGCCGCGGUAAAACGUAGGUCACAAGCGUUGUCCGGAAUUACUGGGUGUAAAGGGAGCGCAGGCGGGAAGACAAGUUGGAAGUGAAAUCCACGGGCUCAACCCAUGAACUGCUUUCAAAACUGUUUUUCUUGAGUAGUGCAGAGGUAGGCGGAAUCCCCGGUGUAGCGGUGGAAUGCGUAGAUAUCGGGAGGAACACCAGUGGCGAAGGCGGCCUACUGGGCACCAACUGACGCUGAGGCUCGAAAGUGUGGGUAGCAAACAGGAUUAGAUACCCUGGUAGUCCACACUGUAAA